rnacentral:rRNA from 1 species
UACAGAGGUCUCGAGCGUUAGGCGGAAUCACUGGGCUUAAAGCGUGUGUAGGCGGAUUGCUAAGUACCUUGUGAAAUCCCACGGCUUAACCGUGGAACUGCUUGGUAUACUGGCUGUCUUGAGCCACUUAGGGGCAACCGGAACAAACGGUGGAGCGGUGAAAUGCGUAGAUAUCGUUUGGAACGCCAAUGGUGAAAACAGGUUGCUGGGAGUGUGCUGACGCUGAGGAGCGAAAGCCAGGGGAGCAAACGGG